CCUACGGGUGGCAGCAGUAGGGAAUAUUGCUCAAUGGGGGAAACCCUGAAGCAGCAACGCCGCGUGGAGGAUGACGGUUUUCGGAUUGUACACUCCUUUUGUUAGAGAAGAUAAUGACGGUAUCUAACGAAUAAGCACCGGGUAACUCCGUGCCAGCAGCCGCGGUAAUAAGGAGGGUGGAAGCGUUACCCGGAGUCAGUGGGCGUAAAGCGCGCGUAGGCGGGAUAGCAAGUCAGAUGUGAAAUCCUAUGGCUUAACCAUAGAACUGCAUUUGAAACUGUUAUGCUAGAGUAUGGGAGAGGUAGGUGGAAUGCUUGGUGUAGGGGUAAAAUCCGUAGAGAUCAAGAGGAAUACUCAUUGCGAAGGCGACCUGCUAGAACAUAACUGACGCUGAUGCGCGAAAGCGUGGGGAGCAAACAGGAUUAGAUACCCGGGUAGUC
rnacentral:rRNA from 1 species